rnacentral:rRNA from 1 species
GACGAACGCUGGCGGCGUGCCUAAUACAUGCAAGUCGAACGCUGAAGGAGGAGCUUGCUUCUCUGGAUGAGUUGCGAACGGGUGAGUAACGCGUAGGUAACCUGCCUGGUAGCGGGGAUAACUAUUGGAAACGAUAGCUAAUACCGCAUAAGAGUAGAUGUUGCAUGACAUUUGCUUAAAAGGUGCAAUUGCAUCCCUACCAGAUGGACCUGCGUUGUAUUAGCUAGUUGGUGGGGUAACGGCUUACCAAGGCGACGAUACAUAGCCGACCUGAGAGGGUGAUCGGCCACACUGGGACUGAGACACGGCCCAGACUCCUACGGGAGGCAGCAGUAGGGAAUCUUCGGCAAUGGACGGAAGUCUGACCGAGCAACGCCGCGUGAGUGAAGAAGGUUGUCGGAUCGUAAAGCUCGGUUGUAAGAGAAGAACGAGUGUGAGAGUGGAAAGUUCACACUGUGACGGUAGCUUACCAGAAAGGGACGGCUAACUACGUG